rnacentral:rRNA from 1 species
UACGGAGGGGGCUAGCGUUGUUCGGAAUUACUGGGCGUAAAGCGCACGUAGGCGGCUUUGUAAGUUAGAGGUGAAAGCCCGGGGCUCAACUCCGGAAUUGCCUUUAAGACUGCAUCGCUAGAAUUGUGGAGAGGUAAGUGGAAUUCCGAGUGUAGAGGUGAAAUUCGUAGAUAUUGGGAAGAACACCGGUGGCGAAGGCGGCGAGCUGGUCCGUUACUGACGCUGAGGCGCGACAGCCAGGGGAGCAAACGGG